rnacentral:rRNA from 1 species
CCUACGGGAGGCAGCAGUCGAGAAUCAUUCACAAUGGGGGAAACUCUGAUGGUGCGACGCCGCGUAGGGGAAUGAAGGUCUUCGGAUUGUAAACCCCUGUCAUGUGGGAGCAAAUUAAAAAGAUAGUACCACAAGAGGAAGAGACGGCUAACUCAGUGCCAGCAGCCGCGGUAAUACAGGGGUCUCAAGAGGUGUACGGAAUUACUGGGCGUAAAGCGUGCGUAGGCUUUUUCGGAAGUCGUGGGUGAAAUGGCCGGGCUUAAACCGCGGAGGGCACAUUAUACUGGGAGACUAGAGGAAAGGUGCGGGAAGCGGAAUUUAUGGUGUAGCAGUGAAAUGCGGAGAGAUCGUAGAGAACA